GAUGAACGCUGGCGGCGUGCCUAAUACAUGCAAGUCGAGCGAACUGAUUAGAAGCUUGCUUCUAUGACGUUAGCGGCGGACGGGUGAGUAACACGUGGGCAACCUGCCUGUAAGACUGGGAUAACUUCGGGAAACCGAAGCUAAUACCGGAUAGGAUCUUCUCCUUCAUGGGAGAUGAUUGAAAGAUGGUUUCGGCUAUCACUUACAGAUGGGCCCGCGGUGCAUUAGCUAGUUGGUGAGGUAACGGCUCGCCAAGGCAACGAUGCAUAGCCGCCCUGAGAGGGUGAUCGGCCACACUGGGAAGGAGCCACGGCCCAGACUCCUAGGGGAGGCAGCAGUAGGGAAUCUUCCGCAAUGGACGAAAGUCUGACGGAGCAACGCCGCGUGAGUGAUGAAGGCUUUCGGGUCGUAAAACUCUGUUGUUAGGGAAGAACAAGUACGAGAGUAACUGCUCGUACCUUGACGGUACCUAACCAGAAAGCCACGGCUAACUACGUGCCAGCCGCCGCCGUAAUAC
rnacentral:rRNA from 1 species